UACGUAGGGUGCGAGCGUUAAUCGGAAUUACUGGGCGUAAAGCGUGCGCAGGCGGUUUUGUAAGCCAGAUGUGAAAGCCCCGGGCUCAACCUGGGAAUGGCAUUUGGGACUGCAAGGCUUGAGUGCGGCAGAGGAGACUGGAAUUCCUGGUGUAGCAGUGAAAUGCGUAGAUAUCAGGAGGAACACCGGUGGCGAAGGCGGGUCUCUGGGCCGUAACUGACGCUGAGGAGCGAAAGCAUGGGGAGCGAACAGG
rnacentral:rRNA from 1 species